rnacentral:rRNA from 1 species
AAUCUGCCCAUGGUCUGGGGGAUAACAGUUGGAAACGACUGAUAAUACCGCAUAAUAUGGUUUGAAGGCAUCUUCUUUCCAUCAAAGAUUUAUCGGAUAUGGAUGAGCUCGCGUCUGAUUAGCUUGUUGGUGAGGUAACGGCUCACCAAGGCGACGAUCAGUAGCCGACCUGAGAGGGUGAUCGGCCACAUUGGAACUGAGACACGGUCCAAACUCCUACGGGAGGCAGCAG